rnacentral:rRNA from 1 species
UGCCCUACGGGGGGCAGCAGUAAGGGAUAUUGGUCAAUGGGGGAAACCCUGAACCAGCAACGCCGCGUGAGGGAAGACGGUUUUCGGAUUGUAAACCUCUGUCCUCUGUGAAGAUGAUGACGGUAGCAGAGGAGGAAGCUCCGGCUAACUACGUGCCAGCAGCCGCGGUAAUACGUAGGGAGCGAGCGUUGUCCGGAUUUACUGGGUGUAAAGGGUGCGUAGGCGGCUUGGCAAGUCAGAUGUGAAAAUUAUGGGCUCAACCCAUAACCUGCAUUUGAAACUGUAGUUCUUGAGUGAUGGAGAGG